rnacentral:rRNA from 1 species
AUUGAACGCUGGCGGCAGGCCUAACACAUGCAAGUCGAACGGUAACAGGAAGAAGCUUGCUUCUUUGCUGACGAGUGGCGGACAGGUGAGUAAUGUCUGGGAAACUGCCUGAUGGAGGGGGAUAACUACUGGAAACGGUAGCUAAUACCGCAUAACGUCGCAAGACCAAAGAGGGGGACCUUCGGGCCUCUUGCCAUCGGAUGUGCCCAGAUGGGAUUAGCUAGUAGGUGGGGUAACGGCUCACCUAGGCGACGAUCCCUAGCUGGUCUGAGAGGAUGACCAGCCACACUGGAACUGAGACACGGUCCAGACUCCUACGGGAGGCAGCAGUGGGGAAUAUUGCACAAUGGGCGCAAGCCUGAUGCAGCCAUGCCGCGUGUAUGAAGAAGGCCUUCGGGUUGUAAAGUACUUUCAGCGGGGAGGAAGGGAGUAAAGUUAAUACCUUUGCUCAUUGACGUUACCCGCAGAAGAAGCACCGGCUAACUCCGUGCCA